rnacentral:rRNA from 1 species
UACAGAGGGUGCGAGCGUUAAUCGGAAUUACUGGGCGUAAAGCGUGCGUAGACGGUCAUGUAAGUCGGAUGUGAAAGCCCCGGGCUCAACCUGGGAAUUGCAUUCGAGACUGCAAGGCUUGGGUGCGGAAGAGGGAAGCGGAAUUUCCGGUGUAGCGGUGAAAUGACGUAGAUAUCGGAAGGAACACCAGUGGCGAAAGCGGCUUCCUGGUCCGACACCGACGUUCAGGCACGAAAGCGUGGGGAGCAAACAGG